CUACUACUAACAUUGACUAACACAGGGAGGAAGGGUGGGAAAGCUCCUGUCAGAUAUCUCCCUUCCUGCUGAGUGUCAAGGGCCCACCUUCAGCUUCACCUAUAUACCGGUCCCCUUUGCUACAUAUGUAUCCCCUUUAAUCCAUCCCCCAUUCCUGGGCAGCAGUCAUGUCUUUCCCUUCCUUAGCCAGUCCAGGGAAACCCUUGACUGCAGACCCGUUAACCUAUCCGUUGCCCAAUAAACACACGACACCUGUAUAAUGGAUAAGGGCAACGGCCACAGCUUUAUUUAACGUUUUUGCCAGCAUUAAUACCAAC